AGGCCCAGAGAGAGAAGCAGGGUCUGAUCCGCAGCCUCUGUGGCAGCUGCUGAUCAGCCUUUGCCUCUCUCUCUGGGCCUC
rfam:Myotis brandtii contig186952, whole genome shotgun sequence.